GACAAGGGACAAAAUUGCAGUCGGAAAGACCAAACAAGAAGCUCUGAUGAUCUGGUUGCAAUGGCAGCGGGAAUGGAGAGAAUUAUAACAGUUGGGAGUCUUCUUAGACUUCUCGUUUAUAAUCAGAGCAGUGGAGUGGAUUGGCAAAGCAGGUACAUCAAAUGAAGAUACGCUGAGUAAGACUUUGACCAAAGAUCUGACUCAAGAGUUAGGAAGGAAGAAGUUACCUUAAAAAAGUAUCAACCCCUACCCUAGUGGUUGGGAAAGACUCAACAGGACAUUGGAAGCAAAGAAGAGGGGGGAGAAGGUUACAGAUAUUUUCUAGUUGAGUUAUCAGCUUCAAUCAUUGAUGAAAAAGAGCUUUUUGGCAGGACAGCAGGAGAUACUAUGCACAGAGUGGAGUAUAAUGCACAUCCAUUCCUACAAGAAUGAAUGGAGCAGGUGCAUUAGGUUGCUGUAUCCAGUGUAGCUGUUCAGCCAGAGCAAAGUAUAGAGCAAGAAUAAAAGAGUUGAGGAUUUAAUACUAAUACAGUUGUUUUCAGGUGUACUUGAAAUCCUCUGACUUGGUCAGCUGUUAGGAGCUGGAGAUGAUGGGGGAAGUAGAAAGUGAAGGAUAUAGUUGGCAGUUCUCAGUGUCAUUUUAGCUCUAUUGGACUCUUAAGACAGGAGUUGCUGAACUACUUCUGUAAAGGGACGGAUGAAAAAUACUUUAGGCUUCUGGGCCACUCACUAUUGUAACUACCCACCUCUGCCAUUGCAACUCAGAACCAAAUGAGCAUAUCUUUGUCCCACUAAAACUUUAUUUACACCACCAGA